rnacentral:lncRNA from 1 species
AAAACUACCGAUAUCAGCCUCUGUUUUCACUGCUGGUGGCGCCAUCAUUGACUCUGGAACUGUCAUCACCCGACUACCACCGACGGCAUAUACAGCACUGAGCUCUGAAUUUAGGAAACUGAUGAGCCGAUAUCCAAAGGCACAACCACUUUCAAUCCUGGAUACAUGCUAUGACUUUACCAAGUUUUCUUCGGUUAGUGUACCUAAGAUAAGUAUCUUCUUCAGUGGGGGUGUUGAGGUUCCGAUUGCCACAAAGGGAAUUUUG